UGACAAUUCUGAAGAGGCAAAGCGUCAAAGGAGGAAGCAAGCAAAUAUAGAAUCAGCUAAACGGUCUAGAAAAAGAAAACAAGACUUGAUGAAAAACCUUGAGAAAGAGGUUGAAGUUCUUAAGAAUACAGCCUUAGAAUCAUCACAGGUUCACCGGGAGCUUAAAGAAAAG